rnacentral:rRNA from 1 species
AGAGUUUGAUCCUGGCUCAGGACGAACGCUGGCGGCAGGCCUAACACAUGCAAGUCGAACGGUAACAGAAAGCAGCUUGCUGCUUUGCUGACGAGUGGCGGACGGGUGAGUAAUGUCUGGGAAACUGCCUGAUGGAGGGGGAUAACUACUGGAAACGGUAGCUAAUACCGCAUAACGUCGCAAGACCAAAGAGGGGGACCUUCGGGCCUCUUGCCAUCGGAUGUGCCCAGAUGGGAUUAGCUUGUUGGUGGGGUAACGGCUCACCAAGGCGACGAUCCCUAGCUGGUCUGAGAGGAUGACCAGCCACACUGGAACUGAGACACGGUCCAGACUCCUACGGGAGGCAGCAGUGGGGAAUAUUGCACAAUGGGCGCAAGCCUGAUGCAGCCAUGCCGCGUGUAUGAAGAAGGCCUUCGGGUUGUAAAGUACUUUCAGCGGGGAGGAAGGGAGUAAAGUUAAUACCUUUGCUCAUUGACGUUACCCGCAGAAGAAGCACCGG